rnacentral:rRNA from 1 species
UACGGAGGGAGCUAGCGUUAUUCGGAAUUACUGGGCGUAAAGCGUACGUAGGCGGCUUUGCAAGUUAGAGGUGAAAGCCUGGAGCUCAACUCCAGAACUGCCUUUAAAACUGCAUCGCUUGAAUCCAGGAGAGGUGAGUGGAAUUCCGAGUGUAGAGGUGAAAUUCGUAGAUAUUCGGAAGAACACCAGUGGCGAAGGCGGCGCACUGGACUGGUAUUGACGCUGAGGUACGAAAGCGUGGGGAGCAAACAGG